rnacentral:rRNA from 1 species
UUGAAAUACCAGUUCCCAUACAAACACUGAAGUUAAGCAAUAUCGAGCCUGGUCAGUACCUAGAUGGAGCGACUGCUUGAGAAUACCAGAUGCUGUAAG